GGAUAUAUGACAAAGCGGAUUUAGUGUUGUAUUCAGUGACACCUGCCAUCCAGGUCGCUUGUAGAGCAACCUGUCUUGAGAAUUUGAUAACAGCAGGGCAUGAAUGCGUCCGCCACGUCGGCGGGACGCAUUGAUCUAUACCUUGACAAUUCAACUCUGCCGCAUCAGGUAUGAGCCCAAGUGGCGAUCGCCUUAAAUGCAAAAAGCUUCGCUGCUCCCGUACUUUAGGAAGCGCCUCGUCUGUGGGGCGUGUGUCAAACGUAGCUGGUUUGCAGAAAAGUAUUUGGCUGGACCACGAAAACAGUACGCUACACGUUAACAUUGGGCAGCUUCAAUAUGUCUGUAUCCGUAGAGCUUUCUCUCCCGCUUCAGGAACGAUAUGUA
rnacentral:sRNA from 2 species